GAUGAACGCUGGCGGCGUGCUUAACACAUGCAAGUCGAACGGUGAAGCAGAGCUUGCUCUGUGGAUCAGUGGCGAACGGGUGAGUAACACGUGAGCAACCUGCCCUGGACUCUGGGAUAAGCGCUGGAAACGGCGUCUAAUACUGGAUACGAGACGUGGCCGCAUGGUCAACGUUUGGAAAGAUUUUUUGGUUCAGGAUGGGCUCGCGGCCUAUCAGCUUGUUGGUGAGGUAAGGGCUCAACAAGGCGUCGACGGGUAGCCGGCCUGAGAGGGGAACCGGCCACACUGGGACUGAGACACGGCCCAGACUCCUACGGGAGGCAGCAGUGGGGAAUAUUGCACAAUGGGCGGAAGCCUGAUGCAGCGACGCCGCGUGAGGGAUGACGGCCUUCGGGUUGUAAACCUCUUUCAGCAGGGACGAAGCGUAAGUGACGGUACCUGCAGAAGAAGCACCGGCUAACUACGUGCCAGCAGCCGCGGUAAAAC
rnacentral:rRNA from 1 species